rnacentral:rRNA from 1 species
UCUCAUCUGAUCUCAGAAGCUAAGCAGGGUCAGGCCUGGUUAGUACUUGGAUGGGAGAUCACUUAGGAAGACCAGGUGCUAUAGGCA